GUGGGGAAUCUUAGACAAUGGGCGCAAGCCUGAUCUAGCCAUGCCGCGUGAGCGAUGAAGGCCUUAGGGUUGUAAAGCUCUUUCAGCUGGGAAGAUAAUGACGGUACCAGCAGAAGAAGCCCCGGCUAACUCCGUGCCAGCAGCCGCGGUAAUACGGAGGGGGCUAGCGUUGUUCGGAAUUACUGGGCGUAAAGCGCACGUAGGCGGAUCAGAAAGUCAGAGGUGAAAUCCCAGGGCUCAACCUUGGAACUGCCUUUGAAACUCCUGAUCUUGAGGUCGAGAGAGGUGAGUGGAAUUCCGAGUGUAGAGGUGAAAUUCGUAGAUAUUCGGAGGAACACCAGUGGCGAAGGCGGCUUACUGGUCCAUUACUGACGCUGAGGUGCGAAAGCGUGGGGAGCAAACAGGAUUAGAAACCCCGGUAGUCC
rnacentral:rRNA from 1 species